AUCUGCAAGGAUUUCAGAAAGGUUGGUAUCCAAUGCUGAUGGUGCUUUCGUGGCAAAUUUGGCACGAGAGGAACUCAAAAAUCUUCCUAGAAGACAGUCUUGUCCUGCUUGAGUUCUUUAGAGAACCAUCUAGUACAUCACUCUCUGGAGAUAUCUGUGUUGGGGAAAUCCUUGGAUAGUCUAUUAGAAUUUUUCCUAACCAUAAGCUGCCACUAAUUGCAUUUUCUUAUUGCGAAAAACCAGUUGGAUAUUAGACUGGUAAAGCCCAAUGCCGUUCAGUAUGAUCCAUACAGCUCUUGGGCCUAGGUCCAUCUCAAUAAUUGCUUUGGGUGUGGUAUGCAAAGUGUAGGGCCUAUUUUAAAGAUCGGGUUGCUUGAUGGAGGGCCCCAAAAAAUAAACCCUAGGGCAAGGACCCUUCUCCAUCCAGAAUAUCGAAGCUUAUAUAAACAGCUAUCGGCAGUGGUUUGCCUCAUCGAAAAAGCUACCAUACAUAAAUUAGAGAGGAAGAGAGA
rnacentral:lncRNA from 1 species